AUCGAACCAAUCAGCGUAGAGAAGCUCUGUAUAAAAUGGCGCCGUCACGGUUAUUCUUCCUCCUUGAAACCGCGUUCACCAGAAAGUGCGGAGUUGGCGUUUUCUAUUCACAAUGACGUCAUCAGUCCACCGCUAUUGCUGCAGAGGUCUGAUGGUAGAAAUGAAGUUAAACAUGUCCACAGGAGGAUGAGUUAAGUGAAUGACUGGCAAGAUGGCCUAUAGUCGCUUAACUCGCAGAGAUUGGCUGAAUGAACCCGUGUGCGGUCUCUGAGGUACUUCAAUAUACUGGCAGGAUAUCACCUUAAAGAUGCUGUUCUUCCAGUGGGAUACUUCAGUUCCUUUGAGAACCGCCGGUGCGGAGUUGGAAGAUUUGAGAUGAUUCAGGCCCAGGUACAUUAUCUUCACUAUGACCUGAGGGAUGCAAGAUGAAAGCGUAAGCUGUUGUGUCAAUUCUGAGUGGAUUAGACUUUGCCAUUUCAUGUUUUGCCCAGGGACAUGGUCUUCACCCUGGUUUAAAGGAUGCAAGAUGAACGCUUCAGCUGUCUGACUUCUGAGUGGACCAGACUUGGCACAUUUUAAUUUAUCAUGUGACCAAUUAGAUUGUUGGCCUACUAAAGAGCCUAAUCAUUGGUUUUUCCAUGUAUGUGUUUUGUUUAAUAAAUUUUCAUUGGUUCA